CUCAGAGUUUUCCAUUUCACAAAGCGAGGUAACUUAACCCUGAGACAGAGGGGUAACUCUAGCCUGUUUCACAAAGAGGGGUAACUUCAACUCUCGGUCAGUUACCGCAGUAACAGACUCUAUGACUCUAACCUGGUCACCAGCAGGUUUAUCUGAGAAAACCUCCAGUUUCUCUCCGUCUCCGCCCUCUUUCAGCCACACGCUGUUUCAUUUCCUCAUUCAUUCAGUCAGUAAGCGAGCGAGUUUUGGCGUAGAACAGCUUUUAUUAACGAUCCAGUGGAUAAAGGAGCAGCAUUACUGCACAGAUCAUUAAAUAUUCGUCGGUAGAUUGUUAUCAGACCGAGCAUAAAUGUUCUCGCAUUUCCGGACAGUUAUCGGUUUGAGCGGUACCGUUUCCUAAUCGUUUCAAGUCCAUAAUCUACAUAAACAACCUAAUCCGUCCUUACAUUUACAUUACCAACCAGUCAUGCUCUCACAUCCAGCAGAUAUUGUGUGUUGCGCUGCGGUUCUUUGCAAAUGAAAGUUUUUAUAUGAUGUCAGAGAUGCAGAGUAAGACAACUGUAUGGAGGACAGUCAGAAAAGUUUUCCUGGCUCUGAAACGACUUUUACCAUCAUUGUGGUUUUCCUGGACAUAAACCUGUCAGAACAUCAAGGAGGAUCCACAGGAUUACAGGAUUUCCCAGUGUGAUUGGCUGCAUAGAUGCACACACAUCCCCAUCACAGCUCCCUCACAUCAUGAACAGGAAGUCCAUUCACAGCAUAAAUGUGCAGAUCAUAUGUGAUGCUGCAUACAUCAUUUCUAAUGUGGAGGCCACGUGGUCUGGGUCUGUUCAUGACUCCAGGAUUUAUGGAGAGUCUAACCUGAGCAACAGACUGCAGCGUGGAGAGUUUGAUGGCCUUCUGCUGGGUGACAGGGGUUACCAUGACAACCCAGGCUGAUGACCUCAUACCCUGACCCUGAACCAGGCCCCCAACAGAACUUCAACCGGACUCACUGCAGGACCAGAGCCCGGGUGGAGAUGACCAUAGGCCUGCUGAAAGCCCGUUUCCAGAGCCUACGUCUCCUCAGGGUGACCCCUGAGAGGGCCUGUGAUAUUACUGUGGCAUGUGUUGUUCUUCAUAAUAUUACCACUAUUAGAGGAGAGCAACACCCUGCCCUACAAACUGAAGACCCAGAUGAUGAGCCCAUCCACCUGCAGCUAUCCAGGACAGCAGAGCAGUCAGAGACACCGUAUGCAAUAAUCACUUUAGAGUUUAAGUCUCCAUCAUCACCACCACAGCAAAUAAAGACAUGAUACACAUUU